UUAAAAUAUUAAAGUAUAACCUCAUUUAUAAUAAAACAUUAACAGCAUUCGUCUAAGUGACAACAUGAUGCACUUCCGUGGAAUUCUUUUAAUUAUCCUAUUUUUGACAUUAGUCGAUACUGUUUUCUGUGAUGAGAAAGUAGGAAUGGUAAGCUGUGAUUUCGAGGGUAUUUGGUGUGUUAUAUAUUGUGGUAAAAAUCAUAAGAAAAACGGAAAAUGCAUAGAUAAGAAAUGUAAAUGCUUGUGAGUGGUAGAAUGAUAGAAAAAAUAAAAGAAGGAAUAAUUGUU